AUGACUUCCGCUGCUUCUUCGGCCGCCGCCGUCGCCCCUUCGACAGCCGUCGCCGCUCCAUCAGCCGCUGCACCCGCGCAGGGGGUCUUCUCUCCCACCCUUGCUGCUCUUCUCGCCGGCACCAACGGCGCGCAGAACGCCCUCGUCGUCAGCUCCGCUACAGCCAGCGCCGGCAACCUCGGCUCCUUCAUGGCCGGGUUGAUGUCGUCUGCUUCUUCAGCUCCUCUGGUCGCCGCAGUCCGGCCUGCUCCUGUUCGCCUGCCCAUGGUGUCCGAUGUGCCCACUCCGGCGCCGUUCCACUUUGCGCAUCUGCUGACGAUCAAGUUGUCGGCGGAAAACUUCCUCUACUGGCGCGCACAAGUUCUUCCUCUCCUCCGUAGCCACGAUCUUCUCGGCUAUGUUGAUGGAUCGCUACCGUGUCCGUCACCGACCGUCCUCGCCACCACUGCUGAUGGCGCGCAGCACCUAGUUCCUAACAGGGCGCACACGAGCUGGGUACAGCAAGAUCAAGCCAUCCUCUCGGCGAUCCAAUCGUCGUUGACGGAGGGGGUGGCUGGCAUGGUUUUGUUUGCUGCAACUUCCCAAGACGCCUGGACAACCCUAGAGAGCAGUUUCUCCUCCCAAUCCACGGCGCGCUCCAUGGCUCUUCGUCGGCAACUUCAGGAUAUUAAGAAGCUUGAUCUCUCGGCCACAGUCUACUUCAACAAAGUUAAAACCCUAGCCGAUACUCUUGCUGCCAUUGGGAAGCCUCUAGGCGAUGAGGAGUUCACCGGAUUUAUUCUGGGUGGUUUGGAUGGUGAUUAUGACUCGCUGAUCGAGGUUGUCCAAGGACGCGACACUCCGAUGCCUCCUCGCGAUCUUUAUGCUCGACUUCUUCAGACUGAGCAACGCAUUGAGUCUCGACGAUCGGUUGAGGUUCAUGGUGGUUUCUCCACAUCUAAUGCUGUGACUCGUGGCGGUCCACGACAACCCUACCGCACCGGUGGGAACAUGUCUUCUUCGUCGGGUGGCAAGGCAAUUCUUCCCUCACCAUCACAACAGCAGCAGAGCUUCACCAACAACAAGUCUGGAUCCUCCUGCCCUACGUGUGGUCGUCCUAACGGCGGUCGCCCCACGUGCCAGCUCUGUGGGUUUCAGGGGCAUGUUGCAUCUCGCUGCCACAAACGCUUUAAGCGUGAUUUUCUAGGGAUCGGCAAUGAUGGACGCAACAAUGAGAGGCAGGCUGCCAUGGCUACUCAAGGACCCAUUGGCUCUGGUGGUUCUGGCCACGGGCACACUCCCUCCUACCCCAUUGAUUCAAGAUGGUACAUGGAUACUGCAGCUACGGAUCACAUGACCAAUGAGAUGGACAAGUUACACUCAAGCCAACCCUACCUCGGCCAUGACAAGGUUCACGUUGCAAACGGGUCAGGAUCGCGCAACGAGGGACGUUCUUCUUAG
rnacentral:rRNA from 1 species